GCUCCUUGUUCAAACAGCAGCCCCUCUAACAGCUCCUGUUAAAAGCCAGGGGAUGCUUCACUGCUUAGACGUGAAUCACUUCCCCCAACCACACAGAAGUAUCCUUCAAAGAACUUCCUUCCUGCCUCUGCAAAUCAGAAAUUCAGCAAAAGGAGCAUCUGUCCUAAACACCUGCCAGGGGAGCACAAAGCAUUGAAGAACAAUUGCUCGUCUUUGCAGCAUUUCACAUUCCAUACAAGAGACAAAAGGCCCAACCCCCACUACC